rnacentral:rRNA from 1 species
UACGAAGGGGGCUAGCGUUGCUCGGAAUUACUGGGCGUAAAGCGCACGUAGGCUGUCUUUUAAGUCGGGGGUGAAAUCCUGGAGCUCAACUCCAGAACUGCCUUCGAUACUGGAAGACUCGAGUCCGGGAGAGGUGAGUGGAACUGCGAGUGUAGAGGUGAAAUUCGUAGAUAUUCGCAAGAACACCAGUGGCGAAGGCGGCUCACUGGCCCGGUACUGACGCUGAGGUGCGAAAGCGUGGGGAGCAAACAGG